AGAGUUUGAUCCUGGCUCAGAACGAACGCUGGCGGUAUGCUUAACACAUGCAAGUCGAACGAGAAAGCUUCUUCGGAAGUGAUUAAAGUGGCGCACGGGUGAGGAACACGUAGAUAACCUGCCCUUCAGUCCGGGACAACUUUUCGAAAGGAGAGCUAAUACCGGAUAACAAUGGAGAUCUAAUGAUCUCUAUUUGAAAGGAUUUAUCGCUGAGGGAUGGGUCUGCGUACCAUUAGCUAGUUGGUGGGGUAAUGGCCUACCAAGGCGACGAUGGUUAGCGGGUCUGAGAGGAUGAUCCGCCACACUGGAACUGAGACACGGUCCAGACUCCUACGGGAGGCAGCAGUGGGGAAUCUUGCGCAAUGGACGCAAGUCUGACGCAGCAAUACCGCGUGAGUGAAGAAGGCCUUAGGGUCGUAAAGCUCUUUUAUCGGGGAAGAUAAUGACGGUACCCGAGGAAUAAGCACCGGCUAACUACGUGCCAGCAGCCGCGGUAAUACGUAGGGUGCAAGCGUUGUUCGGAAUCACUGGGCGUAAAGGGCGUGUAGGCGGACUGUUAAGCAUGAGGUGAAAGCCCGGGGCUCAACCCCGGAAGUGCUUCAUGAACUGGCAGACUAGAGUUGGUGAGAGGUGAGCGGAAUUCCAGGUGUAGAGGUGAAAUUCGUAGAUAUCUGGAGGAACACCGGCGGCGAAAGCGGCUCACUGGUGCCAUACUGACGCUGAGGCGCGAAAGCGUGGGUAGCAAACAGGAUUAGAUACCCUGGUAGUCCACGCCGUAAACGAUGUCUACUAGCCGUUGGGAGGAUUGCCUCUUAGUAGCGUAGCUAACGUGAUAAGUUGACCGCCUGGGGAGUACGGCCGCAAGGUUAAAACUCAAAUGAAUUGACGGGGGCCCGCACAAGCGGUGGAGCAUGUGGUUUAAUUCGAUGCAACGCGAAGAACCUUACCUGGUCUUGACAUGCCAAGAAUCUUUUGGAGACAGAAGAGUGCCUUCGGGAACUUGGACACAGGUGCUGCAUGGCUGUCGUCAGCUCGUGUCGUGAGAUGUUGGGUUAAGUCCCGUAACGAGCGCAACCCUUAUCCUUAGUUACCAGCACGUUAUGGUGGGGACUCUAAGGAGACUGCCGGUGAUAAACCGGAGGAAGGAGAGGACGAUGUCAAGUCAUCAUGGCCCUUAUGAGUAGGGCUACACACGUGCUACAAUGGGCAGUACAAAGGGUCGCAAUACCGCAAGGUGGAGCAAAUCCCAUAAAGCUGCUCUCAGUCCGGAUUGGAGUCUGCAACUCGACUUCAUGAAGCAGGAAUCGCUAGUAAUCGCGAAUCAGCAUGUCGCGGUGAAUACGUUCUCGGGCCUUGUACACACCGCCCGUCACACCAUGGGAGUGGAUUGUACCAGAAGCGGGUAGACUAACCUUCGGGAGGUCGCUCACCACGGUAUGGUUCAUGACUGGGGUGAAGUCGUAACAAGGUAACC
rnacentral:rRNA from 1 species